rnacentral:rRNA from 1 species
UACGUAGGGUGCGAGCGUUGUCCGGAAUUACUGGGCGUAAAGCGUGCGUAGGCGGUUCUCCAAGUCCGUUGUGAAAGCCCCGGGCUCAACCUGGGAAUGGCAGUGGAAACUAGGGGACUGGAAUCUGGCAGAGGGGGGUGGAAUGCCGCGUGUAGCAGUGAAAUGCGUAGAGAUGCGGCGGAACACCGAUGGCGAAGGCAGCCCCCUGGGCUGAGAUUGACGCUCAGGCACGAAAGCGUGGGGAGCAAACAGG